ACUAUAUAAAGACAACAUAAUAAAUUAUAAACGCAACAAAGUUAACACUGUUUUUGUGAUUGUAAAAUAAGGUAUUUAAAAAAAUAAAAACUGUAGCAAUAAGAUAUUUAGGAGUCUUGCAUCUUUUUUCAUUUGAAGAAUACCGAUCGUACUUGGUUUUCACACCAUUAGCACUACAGUAACUCCUCUCAAAAAUAUUUAGAAUCCAAGCUUUUAAUCUUGGCGUCCGUUGGUAAAACCUGUUCUAGUGAUAAAUAUUGUUUGAUUAAUAAAAGACAUGCUGACAAUGGAAAAAUCUGUUCAACAGAUAAUAUACUUAAGAUAUACCAAAAUGACGAUGUACAAAAGUUGAUAAAUGUGUAUAAGCAACAUUUUAAAAAAAGUUGUCAUAGAAAAACUGAUACUAGAUCUCGUUUUAGAAAACAAAUUUAAAGUUCAAUCAGAAGUUAAAUCAAACUAACUGUUUAGCGAAAUUCUACUAAAUGUGUAUAUUCCAACUAUUUUCAAACUAUCAAGAUUUUUGAAUAUAUCCAAAAAAAAGGAUGCUUCACUUCUUUGUGGAUUUGCUCAGUUUGUAAAAACGAUAGUCAAAAAGAUGUUAAAAAAAAGGUUUAGAACUUAAUGAAAAAAAUACCAGUUUUAAAAAGUUUUAAUGAAGUAGAUGUUAGUUAAUCAUGUUGUUAACAAAACUUUUGUAAAAAAAAUAUGAUGUCAAAACAGACUGAUAUUUGGUAAAGAAUAUUUUUUUGUAGUUUGUUAAAACUAAUGGUUCUUAAAAAUUCGUUAAGUUCCGUUGGCUAAAAAACACGUUUUAUAGAGAGUUUUGUAAAGCUUUAUAAAUGUUUUAAAAAACUAAAAAAUAUCGCAGUGUUGUUUAAAAGAUAUAUCGACUUAUUUAAAGAUUUCAUCAUUACAUGUCUGCAACUAAUUAUUAUUAUUUUAUUAUCAAUGUUCAUAAUAUUUUUAUUGUUAACAGAGUUUACUAAAAUAUACUUAACUUUAAAAAAGAUAAUAUACAGUACCGAUAAUAAAAAGAAACAUUAUGUUAAAACAAACAACUUAUUUGUAUGAAUAAAGAAAACAAUGAAUAAACUGUUGACAGUUUUUAUCGUUUGGUCUAGUUUACUUUUAUUUGUAUUUAUCUUUUCUGUUUGCAAAACUUGUAAAAAAAAUACUGUUUCAUUUUAUGUUUCUACGUCAAAACAGAACAUGACAAACAAAAAUUGAUUUUAAAAUGACAUUCAAAAGUCUUGUCUAAACAACAUUAUAAUAUUACCAACUACCAUUCUAUUAAAAAGUUAAACAUUUAUUCUUGAGAUAUAAGAUGUUUAACAUUUAUCCUUGAGAUAUAAGAUGUUUAACAUUGAUUCUUGAGAUAUAAGAGCAAGAUGUAUAACAUUUAGCCUGAUGAUAUAAGACUAAGAUGUUUAACAUUUAUCCUUGAGAUAUAACAUCAAGAUGUAAAACAUUUAUCUUUGAGAUAUCAGAGCAAGAUGUAAAACAUUUAACCUGAAGAUAUAAGACAAAGAUGUUUAACAUUUAUCCUUGAGAAAAAACAUCAAGAUGUUUAACAUUUAUCCUUGAGAUAUAAGACCAAGAUGUUUAAUAUUUAUUGUUGAGAUAUAAGAUCAAGAUGUAUAACAUUUAUCAUUGAGAUACAACAUCAAGAUGUAAAAUAUCUAUUCUUGAGAUAUAAGACCGAGAUGUAUAACAUUUAUUGUUGAGAUAUAUGACCAAAAUGUUUAUCAUUUAUUCUUGAGAUAUAAGAUCAAGACGUUUAACAUUUAUCCUUGAGAUAUAAGACUAAAAUGUUUAACAUUUAUCAUUGAGAUAUAAGACCAAGAUGUACAACUUUUAAACGUCAUUUAUUAACUGCAAUUAAUGAAUGGUUUUUAAUGUUUUGAAAGAAAAAAUUAUUAUUUUUAUAGAUAUUACUUAUAAAAUAGUUUAUUUUAUCAAAUUAACUUAACAAACAAAUAUAAAAUAUGCAUACAAAUAUUUAUAUCAAUAAAUUUAAUUAUUACUGAGUCCAACUCUGUCUAAGUAAUAAUGACCGGUUGGUGGAUUUUAACAGAUUAUUUUUUCGGAGUGGAAGUAAUGAGCAUUAAUAUUUUAGUCUGAUUUCAAUUAAAGUAUAAAAAAGUUCCCGAUAUCUCGAAGAAGCAAAGGAAAAUGCUUUAACUUAACAAUGUUCUACUAAAGCAAAUUCCCGUUAGGUCGAACUUUGGCUGAUAUGAAUUAGUUUAAGUUAGCCAAUUUUUUCUUUAUUCAAUGGUAAAGUAUAUACCAAUCAGAGCCGGGUGUCCCACCCCUAAAGCUGUCAUAUAAGCAUUUGAGUUGACAUAUUGAAUAACGAUCUAUAGAGGAAGGUUGCACGUGAUAAGCAGGUUUCUAAGAUCAGUGGCAUAGAAAGGUUUUUAAAUGUUUAAAAUAACCAACUUAUAAACAACAAGAAUAUUCUAAAUUUUUUUACGUUUAUAUGUAUGACAAAAAGAUUCUUUAAAGAAAAAAGAUGAUUCGUUUUGAGACGUUCAAGAUGAAAUGCGGUUUUUUAUUUAACAGGGUGGCCGCAGGUCCUCUAAAAUCCUCUAAAGUCCUCUUUUUUAAAAAACCUCCUCUAAAAUCCUCUAUUAUCAUCUAAAAAGUUAAAAAUAUCAUAAAAUCUCCUCUUUAACUCCUCUUUUUUAUUAUUUUUUAUUUCUUGAUGGUAGUAUAAUGUUCAAAAUACAUGGUCUGCAAAACUGCGUAACGUUUGAAAUGAGAAUUGGUUUGUAAAAAAAUCAAUUUAAGCAAAUCAAUGUCAUCUAAAAAAAAAUGACAUUGUUGACCCAUGUCAAAACCAAAGUUAUGUGAAAACAUAGACGUUAAACCUUGAAAAAAAAAUUCUCUGAAAUCCUCUAUUUUUAUUCAAAUUUUGUAGUUUUGCGAAAAAAAUCAUCUACAUUAAAUGCAAAAUCUCCUCUAAAAUUC